UGCUUUCACUUUUGUAAGUCACUCUGGAUAAGAGCGUGUGCUAAAUUACAAAAA
rfam:Salmo salar isolate Sally breed double haploid chromosome ssa04, whole genome shotgun sequence.